rnacentral:rRNA from 1 species
AUUGAACGCUGGCGGCAGGCCUAACACAUGCAAGCCGAGCGGAUGAGGGGAGCUUGCUUCCUGAUUCAGCGGCGGACGGGUGAGUAAUGCCUAGGAAUCUGCCUGGUAGUGGGGGACAACGUUUCGAAAGGAACGCUAAUACCGCAUACGUCCUACGGGAGAAAGUGGGGGAUCUUCGGACCUCACGCUAUCAGAUGAGCCUAGGUCGGAUUAGCUAGUUGGUGAGGUAAAGGCUCACCAAGGCGACGAUCCGUAACUGGUCUGAGAGGAUGAUCAGUCACACUGGAACUGAGACACGGUCCAGACUCCUACGGGAGGCAGCAGUGGGGAAUAUUGGACAAUGGGCGAAAGCCUGAUCCAGCCAUGCCGCGUGUGUGAAGAAGGUCUUCGGAUUGUAAAGCACUUUAAGUUGGGAGGAAGGGCUGUAGGCUAAUAUCCUGCAGUUUUGACGUUACCGACAGAAUAAGCACCGGCUAACUUCGUGCCAGCCGCCGCAGUAA